GUAGGUCAGCAUGGCCCCUGCGCAAGGAUGACACGCAAAUUUGUGAAGCAUUCCAUAUUUUU
ensembl:snRNA U6 U6 spliceosomal RNA